UGAAGGUCAGUGCAAGUAGUUAUAUUUUUUCUUGUCUUGUAUGCUGAUGAUAUUCUACUUUGCUGCUAAUGAUACUGCAUUUUUUACUGAGACGAAGCAAUUUCUCUUUAUGCAUUUGAUGUGAAGGAUCUUGGUGAGACAUCUUAUGUUUUUGGAUAUCCAAAUCCUUCGUGAUAGAACAAAUGGUAUUCUUGGCUUGUCUCAAAAACCUACACUAACGAAAUUUUGAGUAGGUUUAACAUGCAGUCUUGUUCUCCUGAAAAAGUACCUAUUGUGAAAGGGUACCAAGGUUUUUGUGCUUACUUACUGAUGAGCCAAUAUUCUAAAUGUGGUUGGAUACACUAAUGCUAAUUAUGCUGGUUGUAUAGAUGACAGAAAAUCCACCUCUGGUUAUGUGUUUAUGAUGGCAGACAAAGCUAUAUCUUGAAAAGUGUCAAAUAGACACUUACAGCUAAAGUACAUAGCUUGUUAUGAAGCUACGUGUCAUGCUUUAUGGCUGCGCAAUUUUAUUUCUAGGUUAAGAAUUGUUGAUUCCAUUUCGAAACUACUAAAGAUAUUUUGUGAUCACUCUGCUGCAGUUUUAUAAAUGUUGAACACAUUUUCACAGAGCAAAUGUUGGCUGGCCCACUAACUAAAGGUUUAGCUCCUAAAGUCUUUCAAGAGCAUGCGACUCAUAUGGGAUUAAUUGAGUUUUCUAUUGAUUUUACUUAGUGGGAUUUUUGUAUAUUGUAAUCAGCUGCUACUGUGUUAAUGGUGAUAUUUUGGUUGAUCAUACUCUCGAGAAUUUAUGUAUGCAUGCUAUGAUCAAUGUCUAUUGCCAUAUUUUGUUGUG